rnacentral:rRNA from 1 species
UACGGAGGAUGCGAGCGUUAUCCGGAUUUAUUGGGUUUAAAGGGAGCGCAGACGGGAUGUUAAGUCAGCUGUGAAAGUUUGCGGCUCAACCGUAAAAUUGCAGUUGAUACUGGUUUCCUUGAGUGCGGUUGAGGUGUGCGGAAUUCGUGGUGUAGCGGUGAAAUGCUUAGAUAUCACGAAGAACCCCGAUUGCGAAGGCAGCACACUAAGCCGUAACUGACGUUCAUGCUCGAAAGUGUGGGUAUCAAACAGG